CCGACUGCUAUCGGAUGAUACUAAGCCAUGCGAGUCUUUGUAGUAAUACAAGGCAGACGGCUCAGUAACACGUAGUCAACCUACCCUAUGGACAAGAAUAAUCUCGGGAAACUGGGCAUAAUUCUUGAUAGAUCAUAAUGCCUGGAAUGGUUUAUGGUUAAAAUGAUUCGUCGCCAUAGGAUGGGACUGCGGCCUAUCAGCUUGUUGGUGAGGUAAUGGCCCACCAAGGCGAUUACAGGUACGGGCUCUGAGAGGAGAAGCCCGGAGAUGGGUACUGAGACACGGACCCAGGCCCUAUGGGGCGCAGCAGGCGAGAAAACUUUGCAAUGUGCGAAAGCACGACAAGGUUAAUCCGAGUGAUUUCUGCUAAAGAAAUCUUUUGCCAGUCAUAAAACCACUGGUGAAUAAGGGGUGGGCAAGUUCUGGUGUCAGCCGCCGCGGUAAAACCAGCACCUCAAGUGGUCAGGAUGAUUAUUGGGCCUAAAGCAUCCGUAGCCUGCUUUGUAAGUUUUCGGUUAAAUCCAUGUGCUCAACGCAUGGGCUGCCGAAAAUACUGCAUGGCUAGGGAGUGGGAGAGGUAGACGGUACUCAGUAGGAAGGGGUAAAAUCCUUUGAUCUAUUGAUGACCACCUGUGGCGAAGGCGGUCUACCAGAACACGUUCGACGGUGAGGGAUGAAAGCUGGGGGAGCAAACCGGAUUAGAUACCCGGGUAGUCCCAGCUGUAAACGAUGCAGACUCGAUGAUGCAUUGGCAUAAUAGCCAGUGCAGUGUCGCAGGGAAGCCGUUAAGUCUGCCGCCUGGGAAGUACGUACGCAAGUAUGAAACUUAAAGGAAUUGGCGGGGGAGCACCACAAGGGGUGAAGCCUUGCGGUUCAAUGGA
rnacentral:rRNA from 1 species